GUUUGAUCCUGGCUCCAGAUUGAACGCUGGCGGGAUGCUUUACACAUGCAAGUCGAACGGCAGCACGGACUUCGGUCUGGUGGCGAGUGGCGAACAGGUGAGUAAUGUAUCGGAACGUGCCCAAUGGCGGAUAACUACGCGAAAGCGUAGCUAAUACCGCAUACGCCCUUCGGGGAAAGCGGGGGACCUUCGGGCCUCGCACUAUUAGAGCGGCCGAUAUCGGAUUAGCUAGUUGGUGGGGUAACGGCUCACCAAGGCGACGAUCCGUAGCUGGUUUGAGAGGACGACCAGCCACACUGGGACUGAGACACGGCCCAGACUCCUACGGGAGGCAGCAGUGGGGAAUUUUGGACAAUGGGGAAACCUGAUCCAGCCAUCCCGCGUGUGCGAUGAAGGCCUUCGGGUUGUAAGCACUUUUGGCAGGAAAGAAACGGCACGGGAUAAUACCCCGUGCAACUGACCAGUACCUGCAGAAUAAGCACCGGCUAACUACGUGCCAGCAGCCGCGGUAAUACGUAAGUGCAAGCGUUAAUCAGAUUACCGGGCGUAAAGCGUGCGCAGGCGGUUCCGGAAAGAAGAUGCUGAAAUCCCAGAGCUUAACUUUGGAACUGCAUUUUUAACUACCAGAGCUAGAGUGUGUCAGAGGGGAGGUGAAUCGCGAUGUGGCAGUGAUGCGUAGAUAUGCGGAGGAACACCGAUGGCGAAGGCAGCCUCCUGGGAUAACACUGACGCUCAUGCACGAAAGCGUGGGGAGCAAACAGGAUUAGAUACCCUGGUAGUCCGCCCUAAACGAUAUCAACUAGCUGUUGGGGCCUUCGGGCCUUGGUAGCAACUUCAACGCGUGAGAUUGACCGCCUGGGAAAUACGGUCGCAAGAUUAAAACUCAAAGGAAUUGACGGGGACCGCACAAGCGGUGGAUGAUGUGGAUUAAUUCGAUGCAGCAUUACGAAAAACGCACCUGCCCUUGACAUGUCUGGAAUCCGAAGAGAUUUAAGAGAUUUGCUCGCAAAGAGAACGGAACACAGGUGCUGCAUGGCUGUCGUCGGCUCAGCGUGUCGUGAGAUGUUGGGUUAAGUCCGCAACGAGCGCAACCCUUGUCAUUAGUUGCUACGAAAAGGGCACUCUAGUCGACUGCCGGUGUGAAGCCGGAGGAAGGUGGGGAUGACGUCAAGUCCUCAUGGCCCUUAUGGGUAGGGCUUCACGUCUGGCAAUGGUCGGGACAGAAGGUCUGCGCCAACCGCGAGGAGCGAUAGAAGCCCGAUCCAUGCGUCGGAUCGCGAUCUGCCAACUCGACUGCGUAAAGUCGGAAUCGCUCAGUAAUCAUGGAUCAGCGUGUCGCGAAGAAUACGGUCCAAGGUCUUGUACACACCGCCCGUCUGCACCUGUGGGAGUAGGUUUUACCAGAAAUGGUUAGCCUAACCGUAAGGAGGGCGAUUGCCUUCUGCACGGUAGGAUUCAUGACUGGGGUGAAGUCUCAUGCUGAGGUAGCCCUGUUACUACACCUGAUGCUUUAGCUAAGCUGUCUUAUCAAACGGGAUUCGAUCAUGGCGCCGACAGACGCUGGCAUACUAACACAUGCAAGUCGAACGAAGGCCUUCGGGGUUUAGUGGCGCACGGAGUGCCGUAACGCGUGGGAAUCUGCCCUUUGGUUCGGAAUAGCAGCUGGAAGCGAGCUUGCUAAUACCGGAUGAUGACGAGAGUCCAAAGAUUUAUCGCCAGAGGAUGAGCCCGCGUUGGAUUGCGAGUGGAUUGGUGGGUAAGGCCUGCAAGCCGACGAUCAUAAGCUGGUCUGAGAGGAUGAUCAGCCACCUGGGAUUCGAGGCGGCCCAGACUCUGCAAGGAGGCAGCAGUGAAAUAUUGGACAAUGGGCUGGCCCUGAUCCAACAUGCUGGCAUGGUGUGAUGAAGGCCCUAGGGUUGUAGCUCUUACCCGGGAAGAUAAUGACUGUACCGGGAGAAUAAGCCCGGCUAACUCCGUGCCCAGCAGCCGCGGUAAUACGGAGGGGGCUGGCGUUGUUCCAGGAAUUACUGGAGCGUAAAACGCACGUAGGCGACGGCUUUGUGGGAGUCAGAGGUGAGCGCGGAGCUCAACCAGACGCAGCUACUGUGAGACCACAUCAUGAUCCAGGAGAGGUCAGUAGAUUCCGAGUGUAGAGGUGAAAUUCGUAGAUAUUCGGAAAAGGGGAACGCACACACACACACACCAGUGGCAGGCGGCUGACUCGUUUCGUAUUCUGUCAGCUCAACGCAGCGGCGUCGUUUCGUGGCGCGGUUCUUCGACCUUCCGCAGCAACCUGCGAAGCACCGCUAUUGCCGCUAUGCCCUGGUGUUACCUCUUCAGCUGUAUGCGUUAACUCUGUCGUAAAAGAAAAAUUUGGCGGAAGAAGGCCUUCUGGCAGCUCGACAUCUGUUUAAUUGGCGUCUUGCGCCCAGCGUUUCCCUCUUUAUUGUUUAUCCGGCGGGCUCAAAUGGUUUCUUUGCUCGGGUUUGGACGUUCCGCAACUUACAAUAUGUCGAUAUGGCGCCAGCUCAUGAUUUCGUCACGGCGGCGCUGCGCAACCCUCAUUACAUUCAUUAUUGUAUUCAAGGCGUCUUACGACAGAUUGAAGAAGUGAAGUAACUCAGUCCCUCAUCUUUGCCGCAUUCCGCUGUUUGCUAUGCGGCGCCCAGCGUGCUCAUCGUUAUCAUUGAUUAUUCUCUGCAAUAUCGGAAGAAGCGCGCAGCGGUCGAUCUUCGCCAUCUGGGUCUUUGUAUUCGUUUAAGUGGGCGUAAC
rnacentral:misc_RNA from 1 species